AGCUUUGUACAGUGGCAGUAUCAUAGCCAAUGAGGUCCAACCGAGGCGUGAUUAUUGCUAAUUGAAAACUUUUCCCAAUACAUUUAGUUCUGGUAUUAAAUUACAUGGAUGUUUGUCC
rnacentral:snRNA from 1 species